rnacentral:rRNA from 1 species
UACGUAGGGUGCAAGCGUUAAUCGGAAUUACUGGGCGUAAAGCGUGCGCAGGCGGUUAUGCAAGACAGAUGUGAAAUCCCCCGGGCUUAACCUGGGAACCGCAUUUGUGACUGCAUAGCUGGAGUACGGCAGAGGGGGAUGGAAUUCCGCGUGUAGCAGUGAAAUGCGUAGAUAUGCGGAGGAACACCGAUGGCGAAGGCAGUCCCCUGGGCCUGUACUGACGCUCAUGCACGAAAGCGUGGAGAGCAAACAGG